rnacentral:rRNA from 1 species
GUAGGUGGCAAGCGUUGUCCGGGAAUUAUUGGGCGUAAAGCGCGCGCAGGCGGUUCUUUAAGUCUGAUGUGAAAGCCCACGGGCUCAACCGUGGAGGGUCAUUGGAAACUGGAGAACUUGAGUACAGAAGAGGAAAGCGGAAUUCCACGUGUAGCGGUGAAAUGCGUAGAGAUGUGGAGGAACACCAGUGGCGAAGGCGGCUUUCUGGUCUGCAACUGACGCUGAGGCGCGAAAGCGUGGGGAGCAAACAGGAUUAGAUACCCUGGUAGUCCACGCCGUAAACGAUGAGUGCUAAGUGUUAGGGGGUUUCCGCCCCUUAGUGCUGCAGCUAACGCAUUAAGCACUCCGCCUGGGGAGUACGGCCGCAAGGCUG